CCAAUAGCGUAUAUUAAAGUUGUUGCAGUUAAAAAGCUCGUAGUUGAACUUCGGGGUUUACCCAUUGGUCAGGCUUAAUUGUCUGCACUGGUGAGAUGAAUCUCUACCUUCUGAGGAACUUUCAUGCCAUUUAUUUGGUGUGAUGGGAAAUCAGGACUGUUACUUUGAAAAAAUUAGAGUGUUUAAAGCAGGCUAACGUCUGAAUACAUUAGCAUGGAAUAAUGAAAUAGGACGGACUGAUUCUAUUUCGUUGGUUUCUAGGAUCACCGUAAUGAUUAAUAGGGAUAGUUUGGGGCAUUAGUAUUCAAUUGUCAGAGGUGAGAUUCUUGGAUUUAUUGAAGACUAACUACUGCGAAAGCAUUUGCCAAGGAUGUUUUCAUUAAUCAAGAACGAAAGUUAGGGGAUCGAAGACGAUCAGAUACCGUCGUAGUCUUAACCAUAAACUAUGCCGACUAGGGAUCGGACGAAGUUAAUUUUAUAAUGACGCGUUCGGCACCUUACG
rnacentral:rRNA from 1 species